rnacentral:tRNA from 1 species
AAAAAGAUAAGCUAAAUUUAAGCUUUUGGGUUCAUACCUCAACUAUAAAGUAUAACUUUUCUUUUUA